rnacentral:rRNA from 1 species
UACGAAGGGGGCUAGCGUUGUUCGGAAUUACUGGGCGUAAAGCGCACGUAGGCGGACUUUUAAGUCAGGGGUGAAAUCCCGGGGCUCAACCUCGGAACUGCCUUUGAUACUGGAAGUCUUGAGUAUGGAAGAGGUAAGUGGAAUUGCGAGUGUAGAGGUGAAAUUCGUAGAUAUUCGCAAGAACACCAGUGGCGAAGGCACUCUACUGGGCCAUUACUGACACUGAGAGACGAAAGCUAGGGGAGCAAAUGGG